AGAGUUUGAUUCAUGGCUCAGAACGAACGCUGGCGGCGUGCCUAACACAUGCAAGUCGAGCGAGAAAGUCCCGGCAACGGGAUGAGUAAAGCGGCAAACGGGUGAGUAACGCGUGGGUAAUCUACCCUACGGAUCGGGAUAACCUGCCGAAAGGUGGACUAAUACCGGAUGAUGUUCUUGCGGUGAUUCCGUGAGAACCAAAGGGGGCGAGCGUAAGCAGCUCUCACCGAAGGAGGAGCCUGCGUCCGAUUAGCUAGUUGGUGGGGUAAUGGCCUACCAAGGCGACGAUCGGUAGCCGGCCUGAGAGGGCGAUCGGCCACACUGGAACUGAGACACGGUCCUGACUCCUACGGGAGGCAGCAGUGGGAAUAUUGCGCAAUGGGCGAAAGCCUGACGCAGCGACGCCGCGUGGGUGAUGAAGGCCUUCGGGUCGUAAAGCCCUGUCUGGUGGAACGAAACGCCUGGCGGCCAAUACCCGCCGGGUUUGACGGUACCACCGAAGGAAGCCCCGGCUAACUACGUGCCAGCAGCCGCGGUAAGACGUAGGGGGCGAGCGUUGUUCGGAUUUACUGGGCGUAAAGCGCGCGUAGGCGGCCAGAUAAGUCGGGUGUGAAAGCCCUCGGCUCAACCGAGGUUCCGCAUCCGAUACUGCUUGGCUGGAGUCUAGGAGAGGAGAGCGGAAUUCCCAGUGUAUCGGUGACCUGCGUAGAUAUUGAGAGGAACACCCGUGUCGUAGGCGGCUCUCUGGACUAGAACUGACGCUAAGGCGCUAAUUCUAGGGUUAGCAAACGGACAUAGAUAACCACUGUAUAGCCGUAGUUGU
rnacentral:rRNA from 1 species